GUGAGCUAGAGAUCUGUAUAACAUAGAGUGAAGGACCCUUUCUGGUUCUUUUUUGAAAUGGAAUUGAGAUAAAGUUUUUCUUUUCUUUUUUUUUUUUUCCAUCCAAAAACUCAUAUACCCUCUAUAGUCUUCAUUUUACAGAGAUAGAUAUCUAUUGUUUUCUACUCUCUAACUCACAGCAAUGUUCUAAGAAUCCUAAGUGAGUGCUUUUACUUAGUUCUUUCAUCCCCCAGGCGGAGGAAAGGAAACCACGCAAGUUCAGGGGAGCAGUUUGCAUUGAACACCUGUUAAUCUUUUUAUAUUUUACUGCUGUUUCCGCAGCAUGAAAGAGACUGUUUUCAUUACCGCCACUGACAAAUGUUAUUAUGUGUUAAACAUCCACUUGUCCUUGUAUUUAGAGAUGUAGGCCAUCAUUGACUUUCUGUCAAAUCACUUUGCAGAAAUUCUUGUAGGUAUUUGGAAGCUGAGACCAUUUUCUCAGCUCAUCCUAAACAUAUAGAUUUCAUCUUGUGUGCUAAGAGACCAUAAGAGGAGUUUAGAGAUACAUCUGAAACAGUCCUUCAGGUAAAGAAGAUUCUGGAAAUGUAUGGGGCUCAGAAGUAUGCAUUAUGAUUAUGGAAAAACUGUUCCUAAGUUUUCAGUCUCCUAAACUUUUUCCUAGUUGAAGAUAACAAAUUCUGAUUGGUCCUUGAUGGAGUUUGUUUACCAAGCCAUUUUCUGGUUUUAAAUGUUUCUUUUCUUCAAAAUAGUGAGGAAAAUGUCUCUCUCCCUUUGUCAGGUUUUAGUAUUAAAAAAUUGUUUGUAUGAAUCUCAACUGAUCAGUGCUUCUCACAACCAAGUUAGAUCUCUGUCUGGUAUCAUACUUUGUAUUUAUCCAAUCACAGUCAAGUAAAUUGCCUCUAUCAUCUUUUUUCUUGAACUGCAAGCUCUCUGAAGAAAAAUCUCUUCUUAGCACCUCGUUCCUGACACAUGAAGGAGCUUCUUGAAUCUUUGGUUUCAUUUUUGUAUUAUAUUUACUUCAGUUCCAUAAAUUCUAUUCUGUAGCUUCUCAUUGUGACACAAGUGCAACAGUUAAAUAGAAAAUUCUAUAAUCUAGUCACUUAUGCCUGUCGCAGGAAUCAUUUCAUUUGGAGAAGACGUAUUUUCCAUUUAGUAUGAAUGAUAGAAAUGCAUAUUAUGAAAAAGGAAAUUAUCAAAAUUAUAAUGGAGUAGUCAUAACUAUUGUUUGUUUGUAUAAUACUUUCAGCAUCACAAACAACUUAAAAGAUGAUAAUGGGUAACAUCUUGUGGCAGACCUGUUCUGUGCGAUGUGCUAAGCACCUUGCAUACAUUCUUUUGUUUGUAAUUCACUGAGAUUCUAUGAACUAAGUGCUAUGUUAAGGUUAGAUAUUGACUUGCCAGAGUUAACACAGCUUGUAAAAGAUGGAUCUGGGAUUCCAACCAAGCCUUGCCCGACUCCACGAUCUAUAGAUUAACUAUGACAUAAUCUAUCUUCCUAUCCAUUAUCUCAUUUCAUUCUUAUUACUCAUAAGCUAUUAAUUUCCUUUUAUUCAGGGUCAGGGAAACUGAGAUUCAGGGAAGUUUAGGCUUAGCCUUAAGCUUCCGUCCUGGAAAAGCCAGAAAAAUACUAGAAAGGGAAAAUUUUCUCGUUUUUCUCUCCUAUCCCAUUUCUUUCCCAUGCCCCGCCCCCAUUUAUAUCCUCUUUAAAACCUUGAGGGUUCAGGUGCUACCCAUUUGAACCACAUUUGCUUUUUCCACCAAAAUAAAACUCUGCUGGGGAUUCUCUUAGAACAGCUUCCCUAGAAUGCAGAGCCUGGGGCACAAGCUACGUGCUAAUAUUUCACUGGGGAGAACAGUUUUUAGGAAGCAGGAGUGAAGUGAAAAGGAAAUUAAAGGGAAGUUGAAAAGGGGAAAUACAAAGGGAUCCAUUACCUAGCUGAUCACAACUUUGUGAAAGUGGGGCUGAUUGUUUAUUCUCACGAGGUGCCUGUAUGGACUUUUUUUUUUUUCUUUUUCUGUUUAAACAGUCAGUCUUGGAGGAGAAAGGAAAAAUAAUGUAUCUAUGAAUUCUCUUCUCGCAUUUCCAAAGUUUCCCCCAUUGUAUGUCACCUGAGUUACUCUCAGCCCUCCUGCGGCAGCUGUUCUAGGGAGUGACCAGGAAAGCUAAAUCCUAACACAGUGGAAGUAUCCAUGUAACAAGCCAAGAUAUAUGAGGUAGUCCAUGGUCAGUCUCUGUCUGGUCACCUACAGUUUAAAGGUCCAUGGACCCCCAAGGGACCAGUCAGGGCUCCUGCAGAGGCACUGAGCUAGUCCUCACGAAUGACAAGGAAACCUAUAGUUUGUCUGUUAAGAUGCAAAAGGCGUGAUGCUAUCACAUCAUGCCUGCACAGCACAUUAUCACAAUUGCAAAAAUCCUGCAGUGUGUGACAGGAAAAUAUGCAAGCAGAUUGAAAAAAAUCAGGAAUUCUAGAAAACCUAGGGAUCUCCUCAAGAGAAGGAUUUAUCUUCCAAGGAAUCAGCUGUAGCUUUCCCGAAUGUCGAAGAACAGAAGUUGGGGGUUACCCUGCAAGCCCAGGCUGGGUUGGGUCACAUAAGUGCAUGGGCACAUUUACAAAUUAUAUCCAGGUUGUUUCCAACUUUUAUCUGAUAACAGUUCACUCUAAGCAGGUGCUUAGCAUUCUCAUCAUAUAAUAGUAUCUCUGCACACUUGAGUUCUCAGAGGUCCAAUGAGAGGCAGGUUUCUCCACCCUGGUAGACCCCACUGUAUCUCACUACCCAUGACCACAAGUUCCUGAAGACACGGCCCUGCCAGAGGAUGGCUGCUGAAUUUAAACCUUCCUGCACAGAAGAUGAAAACCUCAUCCCAGCACCUAUUAAAAUGCAGUUGUUGCCAGGCAGUCUUCUUUAGAAGGUCAUCAAAAGCAUCAAGCAGAAAACUGGCUGAUUGAAUCCCGAGAGUUGUCUAAACUCUGUGGACUAAAGCACAAGUUCCAACUUAUCCUGCCCUCAUGCUGGGACAUAGCUAAGCCUGAAUAAGUUUGGAGGGCUUUUGAGUCAGAAGAGGGGAGACCCUCCUGAUCGUAAUUUAGGUGAUGGUCUUAGGUACUUCAGGGAGGUGAAUCCAUCCUGAGGAAGAGAGCAUGAGAUGGAAAUUUGGUCCCAUGACAAAGUAUCUUUUAGUGUAAGGAGGGAUGUGCCUCAUGCUUAUCCUCCUGGACUGUCUGAUUACUAUAUGAAUGGGCUGUUAAAAAAGAAAACACUAAAAUAGCUAUCUCUAUCUACUUUUCACUGGGUGCUGUCAGAACCUGCAUAGGUCACAAGGGUCAGGAAGUGGUACGUGUAGCAACCAAUGGCAGUAUUCCUUGUGUGAUGAGCAAGGACAGAUAUUCUGGCUGUAGCAGCAUGAGUGGCGUUAUCUACCAUAUUCCCGACAUCAGAUGUUGCCACCACUGACCCAGACAUUAGUGUCUUUGGCCUCUAGUGUCAGCAACCUAGGUCCAGCCAUCAGUAGCCUUAGUAACAUCAGCAGCUGCAAAGAAGCUUCAGCAGGCGUGAUCAGCUGGAGGUGUACUUUUGGUGAGGGAAGUAAGAGGCAGACAGCUCUAGAACACGCUGGGGGGUGUGCUUUUCUGUGUUCUUGAGGGACAGGCAACCUGGAUGGGGGAGUGUUGACUGUGCCUAACUCAUGCUUUAAUGGUGAUGGUGCUGGGGUCAUUUCAGGACCACUCAGUUGCCUAAGAAAACUUGCUCCACAUUCUCUAGGCGGCAAGAGAGAGACAGGUCCAGGGGUCUACAAACUUUUUUCUGUAAAGGGCCAGUAGCAGCUUUCUUUUUAUCCCUUAUUCCUAACAGACCAGAAAACAAACACCCUUUCUAAUAUUGUGCCAUUUCUGUCUCUACCAUUAACAUUUUAUUUUGACUUUAUAACUCUUUAACUGCAUGAAACAUUUAUAUAAGACAGUAAAGAAUAGUGAUGCAUUCAUUAUUUUUUAUUGCCUGGAGGAUGACUGAAAAUGAAAUGUACUUACCAGCUGCCAUAGUCAACUGAUGAAAUUAUGUGUCCUCCAUUCAUUGAUCAGUUUAUGAAAUGAUAAGAAAUACGUAUUCCAUUAUUUUACAAGCAUUAUGUGUGAAACUCAUAAUUGCUUAUAACACUAAAUCCCAAUUCUUCUGCAAGAGACAUGAGGCAAACGAAUAACUGAAAAAUCCUGUCCUAGGCAUAAUGUAACCUCAGAAUUACGGUCAAUAUGCACAUUCAGUGAAAACAAGCCAUGAAAUUUAGCAUCCAGGGAAUACUCUUGCACAAGUUGACUUGAAUAAUUAAAUAUACUCCCCUCCCUGUAAUAGGGUGGCUGUUCGUCUGUAGAGGAACAUGAGAUGCUUCAAGUAUCACUAGAAUAGGGGCUCAGAGAUCUAUGAUGGUAACAUAUGUGUUUAUUCAGUGUAUACAUAUUUAUACACACAUACAUCAUAUAUGUUCACUGUGUAUGUACAUGCAUGUGCAAACAGAUAUAUACAUACACGUACGUAUUUUCCAAACUCUGUUGAUUUAAUCUUAUUUUAUUUAAGCUCAUGUAGCCUAAAAAAAGAAGAGAGCUUAGACAUCAGCACCCGCCUUAUUUUCAUGGGAUCGCUCUGCAGAUCCCAGGGAGCGUGUAACCGAGUAUGGUCUAGUCACGACACGAAUGCCAGCUGAGUUAGGAUUCAAAACACCCUCUUCUCCAUUCCUGCUACCACAUCCUGCCUUGAGCUCUCCUCAUCUCCACCUCCAGUCAAUACUCUUUUCCCUGCUGGAAAUCUCUUUUUAGUUUAUUGCUCUUUUCAUUGUAUGGAGACUUUCUUCAUUGUUUUUUUCUUUCAAGCUUUGUGUGGGCUUCAUAUCUUAUUUGCCAUUAGGAAUACAAUAAUGCAAUCCAUUGUAAAAGAUUUAUAGUUUUUCAACACUGAAACACAUUUCCUGCUAUUCUGCUCUUAUGCCCUUAUCGAUAUUUAUAAAUAUUCUGAGAUAGCAAAUGAUCUCAAUAAAUAUCACCAUUUGCAAAUACUUAUUUAGGUGCUGAAUAUUAUAAAACAAAAAAAAUUGUGGAAAUAAAUUAGCUGAGGCUUAUAGAAGACUAGUUCUCUAGUUUAAUUCCUUAUUUCAAGUGAUUUUAUUUGUUGACAAUUUCAUUUUUUCUCAUGGACUGACUUUUAAACUUAGAAAAUAAAUGUGCAUGAAUAAAAUUAACUUUCAUCAGUUUCCCCAAAUAUGUUUACCAUAAAAUAUUUUAUUUUAAAAAGUUUCUUGCUAUUUAAAAAUGAAGUGAAAAUCAGUGAAACAGUAAAAUAAUGUUAAAAUUGAGGUGUUGACAGGUGAAUGUACCAUAUGUUGAGAUAUUUAGCCAAAUUAAGUGCAAGAAAAGAACUUAAGAAGUAAAUGACUCCAAGACUAGUUUUCUGAAACAAAGAGCCUAUAGAAACUCCCCUAGAAGCUCAUUUAGGGUCGCUGGUGUGUAAAAUCACAGAAACAAGACCCACUCUGUCAGAGCUGCAGAUAGAACCCUUGCCUCGCCCCCAAAUUCUUUCAUUCAACCUAUUUCUAAUGCAUGCCAGGCACUUUUCUAGGUACUAGGUUAAAUAAAAUAGGUGACUCUUGCCCUUGAGGAGAUUACAUUCUAGCAGGAGAAAACAGACAAGAAGCCCAAUACGGUAUGAUGAUGAUGAUAAUAAUAAUAAUAUUAUUCCAAGAUGGAAAAAAUAAAGCCAGUUCAUUUAACUGAGAGUGCUAGGCUGGGGAGGGAUGUUGGGUUAUUUUGGGUAAGUGUCAUAGAGAAGGAGACUUGCAGCUGAGGAGGGAAUGAGCCACGUGAGUUUCUGGAGGCAGACUGUCGUGACGAGUGACCAGUUCACAGGGGCUGUGGGAACAGAAGGAGGUCCGUGUGCUGUGGUGGAAAGAUGAGGAGUGAAAAUAAUUAAUAGCCCAUGAUUACUCACCUCCCCACACUGUCAUAGACCCUGCAAUAGCUUCCAGACUGUGGUUUUGAAGCCACUGUUGUAGUCAUAACUACCAUUCGACAGAUGAAGACACUGAGUCUUAGAAAUUAAGCUACUGGCUCAAGGUCACUGUUUUGUAUGUACAUUUAGCAUUUUUAGCACUGCCUUGCUCUUUGAUUCUUAAGAUCCUUAUUUUGCCCACAACAAAACUCCAAAGAACUUAACUCCCUCAUGAUUGCAUGAAUGUUAGAGAUAGGAUUAAAAUCCAGUUCUGUUUUUAAGAUUAAUGUUCAGGGCAACUGCACAUGGGGGCCUCUUGUGAAAUUGCCCAAUAACAACUAAGAAAUGCAACUACAGACAGGCAAUGUGAGGUUUGCUAAAAUUUCCUAAAGAGGAGAAUAGUAUUAUUUGCCAUGCUGAAGGGUCUGAGUCCUUUAAUGGGGUUCAAAUGGGAGAAAGGAUCCUUUUAGAAUUUGUGGAAUGAUUUCAAUUAAAGAGACGAGGAUACAGGGGAAAUGUGGAGGGAAACGGGGGUUGGGAUUGACAUAUACAGACGACUCUAUAUAAAAUAAAUAGGUUAGGAGUUCCCCUUGUGGCUCAGCAAGUUAAGAACCUGACAUAGUGUCUGUGAGGAUACGGGUUCAAUCCCUGGCCUCGAUCAGUGAGUUAAGGAUCUGGCAUUGCCUUGAGCUGUGGCAUUGGUUGCAGAAGCAGCUUGGAUCUGGUGUUGCUGUGGCUGUAGUGUAGGCCGGCAGCUGCAGCUCAGAUUUGACCCCUAGCCUGGGAACUUCCAUGC
rnacentral:lncRNA from 1 species